CCCCUCAGCCUGUACUCCUCAGGGAGGCGGAGGGCGGGCCUAUCGUGCCCGCGGCAACUCCGCCCUCCGGGCUCUCGGGGGCGUGGCCAGAGGGAAAGUUUUGUGGGCCUGAAGAAGGUGGGGCUUGAGGAGGAGUCUGAGGGCGUGUGAGGGGCGGGGUUUAAGUGGACGCAGCAAGCAGCUUUGCGUCUUGACGUCACGAAGACCUUAUAUACUCGACUCAGCCGCCAUCUCGGCCUUUCGGAGCUGUGCGGCACUCUGAGCAGGAAUGGCAGUGUGGACCUCUGUGAUGGGACAUCUUGUGGGAUCUCACAGCCAGUUCUGUGGCAAAGGAGGAUGAAGGCUUACGAGGACUCGUCAGGAAGCUGGAUAACAGAGCGAGCGCAAUGUGCUAGAAUAGAAGACCAGAAAAUGAAAUGGUGGAGUUUGAGGCUGGAUAGACAGUUUGAAAGGUAUUACGCAUGGGUCACCUCAAGUGAAGGCACUGCAAACACAAUGAUUGGUCAUUCUGAAUUUCCGGUCCUUCAUUCUGAAUUUCAAAGGCUCCUGUGACAAGUGGACAUGCAGUGACUGUACCUUUGUUUCUGAGGUGCCUGGAUGGAGGCUCAAAUAGAAGAUGGUGUCAGAUAUAUUGUGUUAAAAUUUUACCAUUAAAGUGUAUUAUAACA
ensembl:processed_transcript Gas5 growth arrest specific 5